GAAAGAACCUCAGAGUCUGAACCUUGAGAAAUUGUGAUGGGGUGGCAACACAGAAGGAUUUAAUCAACAUCUUCCAUACAAGAUAACUAAAAAGGGCACAAAGAAUCCACGUAGUUUUAUUUCAGACAGUGAAUCUAGGAUGAACUCUGUGGGCUCCCAUUUUCCCUGAGUCUCCAGGAGUUGUAGAAUACGUGUUCUCAGAUUACAAGCAGACAUGUGGAGCGAAGUCUUCAUCCCACUGACAUCAGUGGCAAAAUUCCCAUUGAUCUGAAUAAGGCAGAACUUGCGUCCUAGCUUUUCUAACUGCUGCGUGCCAAAAUCGACUUCAGACCCAUGCAUCCUCCCUGUCUUACGUGUCACCCUUAGUAAUGAAGGUCCUGCAGUCCAUGCCGUGUCUGCCAUUAUGUUCUCAAGAAGUGAUCAAGACAAAUAUAAAUGAGGAAUGAGAGACCCCAGCAAUCGGAGGGGUCUCUGCACAGCGAGUGUGUGGUGUGUGGUGAACGGUCUCCUCACAGUUACUGCAGAUGGAUCCAUCUGCCUGUUACGCAUGCACUCUGUGCUGACAAAAGGAGCCGCUUGAAUCAUCUUGCCCUGACGUGGACGUGUGCUGUGCUCACUCACGAGUGUCCCAGCUUGCAAGUGUGCUGCCAACACCACCACAAAGGCUGUGCCAGGUCUCUGCUAUCAUGUCUGACCUUUUCUAAUUAAAGGGUGGUUAACCAUCUUGAGAAAAUCUGGAGAUCUCUUCCAGCCUCAUUUUUGCUUAAUUAAGACCAUGGAUUUGGGCACACAGCACCAAAUGCACCCAAAGCAAGUGCUGUCUUAAAGAAUAAAGUCUCAAAAAAUGAUCAAUAAGUCUUUCUACCAUAAUGUCUGUGGAGUAUGCUCUAUCAUCAGAAGCCUAAUUUUACAACAGAAAUAAAAGCACUUUAAAAUACAGAUUAAAAAAAAAAGAACGUGAAGGGAGAAAAUGCCUGUGUAUGCAGUGAACAGGUAUCUUCUGCUACUGAGAAUGGCUGAAUAUGGUCCUGGUGAGAAAAAGAGCAUUUGCUCAUUCUUGCUCCCUGUAGUGUCCUUUUGUCCCUUGCUGCAGGGCCCUUCUCAAGCUUGAUGGUGGUGCAGCCACCCAGUCUUAGUAUAUUCUUGAUGGUUUUCUAGCAAAAUGCUCACUGAAUCCUCUGGCUGUUGUGCUAGACUGAGAGCAGAAAGCUUUUGGUCAUCUGGUAUUUGUUAUCUACAGCUGCCUUUCCUCUUUCAUAGGUACUUCAGGUUAUGGAUAAGCUGAAGGAAAAAAGUUUUUCGUACCGCCAGUUUCAAUUUGAAGCUGAAGAACACCAAACAGCCAAGGUCUGAGAGUAACUCCUGAGCUUACAGAAACAUUCUCAUCUCUAUUUGGCUGAAAUAAAUGUUGGUCUAUUACAUCUUGUAUUAUGAGUUGCUUGCAGAUCUUUGUAUCUGAUCAUUCUCUCAUUGUGUUGGAAAACAAUAUGUGGGAGUUUCUUUCCAUACUAGAUCUUUGUGGGUUACUUGCUAGUAAACUAAUUUUACAUGACUCAGAUUUAAAUAAUAAAAAGGCUUAACUCCAGUCUGAGAAGAGUUUAUUGCCCACAACUGUAGCCUAGAGACAAACUCCAGCACCUUUGGGACUCAGCUGAGGCAGCAAUUAGGCAGCAUUUUAUUGUGAUGCAGUGAGUGCGCAAAAGAUGAAGCUGGACUACUCUCAAGAGCUUAGAAACAAAAUUGGCUUCCUGGAGAGAGAACAUAAGAAAUCUGGCAACCUAAAAAUAUUUAAAGAGCUUAAGGCUCCCAGGGGAGAAUUUUAAGCUAUUGAAGUGGAAAAGACUGAGCAUUUGCUAAGAUUGAAAAAAAAAAAAGGGGGGGGGGUUUACAUGAAAAACGACGAAGUACAGAUAUUUUUUUUUUUACUGUAGCAUGUUUCAAAGGGGAAAAUAUAAUAAACCUGAAAUCAAUCAGUAGCACAGACUUCAAUGCAGUGUUCCAAAUCAAACAGCCCUAGCUUGAAAACAGGAGUCAAAAGAGGGGUUUUUUUUUAUUUCAGAAUUAUAAGGGAUUGAGGCCAAGAAACCAUUAAAUGAGGUGAAAGGUCUAGGCUAGAGGGCAUCUUGAGCAAGUCUAAUGAAGUCAUGGUUGCUUCAGUGGCCAUGUUCCCAAAGGGUUUUGCUGUGUCUGUCACUGCAUCUCUCUGUUCCUCCUCUGAAUCUGGCUCCCUGGCCUCUGUGGUUACCUGCCAGAACGUGCCCCACCAGGCGCCCUGUGAAGCACCCUCCUGGCAGCCCCACAGCGUGUAGCAAACCUAUGUCAAAACAAAGCCAUACGAAAUAUGAUUCAUCUCACCUGUCACUUGAAAUGUCCCAUACAGACAUUUACCUGUGAGCUAGUCGUGCCUGACUUGCUGUAUUGUCAGUGGGGAGCAGCAGGAGCUUACAAGGCUCAAUUUAGCUCAACUGAGUGUAAAAUUCUACCGUAUGCCAAAAGUGUCUAUUUCUCUCCGACUUGAAACGGCAUCCUAAGGUGCCUAACUCACAAAUGGACACCUACAGUUUAAACAUCUACAUCUGCUCAAUGAGCUCUACCCAAACAACUAACAUUAUGCCAGCGCAGACCAUGUGUUAGAGGCCUCUCUGCUGUGUUCAGGCUAUGCCUUCAUGCACCCUGUAUCAAGGACUAAGACAAAUUAGCUGAAACGGUUUAGCUUAUUGAGACAUAAGUAACGAGGGGGCUAGAGGGUGCAGAGUAUUUACCUUAGUGUCGCCUCUUCCCUUCCUCUGCAUUACGCUGACAGCCCUGUCCACAUCACUGCUCCAGCCAGGUUUGGGGGCUGAGGGAUAACUGGCUGUAAGGAGGGCGGGAUGGGGGACAGGAGGGGAGGAGGCUGGUGGAGGGAAGGAAGCGUGCAGAAGGAGAUGGGGACGGGGUGCUUUAUGUGCUGUGGUAAGUAAUAGCAGCCCAGUCUCUAUCUUGGGAAUCUGCAGGGCAGAGCAGUUCGCAGUCUUGAGCUCUGCAUGUGUAAUGCAGCUGAGGAAUAGAUCACCUGGGUUCUCCACCUGGGUCCUGGACCAAGAGCACUUGGGACUGCACUGCAGGUAGGGAGCAUGCCACAUGUUAUGCUUCUGGCAUGAAAUAAACUCUGCCACACGCAUCCUAACCAUGCCUAGUAUUACCACCCUGCCUCAGUUGUACAGCUCCGCUCACAUGAUGCCCUAUGUCAGAGGCAAUCCCAUCAAGUGACACAAGAAACCCCAAAAGAUCUCUGAAGGAUUUCCGCACCAAGAGGCAGAGCCAGGCAACUGAUCAAAGUGGGAAGUCUUGCUCUGCUUUUCUGUACCUGAGUAAACUUCAUCUGCACAAACUUUUGAUGUCGGUGUUGACUUUGACAGAGCUACUCUGGUAGACAAAACUAGUCAAUGAUUUUUAAGUAGUCCCCUAAUGAGUACCCAUUCUGUGCUGAAUGUACUCAAUUCCUUCUCAUAGUCCCAAGGCUUCCCUUUUGUGUAUUUAAUGUCAUAGGCUUCCCAUUCAGUUGUUCUGUUGCUGGUUUGGAGGUUUCUUUGCUCUCUGACUGCGAUUUGCCGGGCAGACAAGGUUUGUGGCUGUUACCAUUAAUGCAGCAGUGUUAACGGCCCAGCGUCAGCCAGCUGCCCAGGACACGGGCCUUUGUUGAGCCCUACACACCAGUACUGUACAUAUUGUAAAGCUGUCCUGCUCAUCCUGCUCUUGAUUAUUGCUAAAUUGCCCAGAAUCCGUCUCUUUUGUUUGUCGGAAAUCAGGCACCUCUGGUAAACAAUAAACAGCGGGGAAAAGGACAGCAUUAUCCUCUCUGAAGCGUACCAGCGUAGCAGCCAAUUUCUGGAUACACCAUUCAUAGACCAGAAAGCAAAGCGCUGGCUGGUGUGCAAAUGUAACAGCAAACACAGUGUUCCCUGGAGAGGCUGAGCUGUAAUGUGCAUGAACAACGUGGAACAGUUCUGGAUGAGCAGAGAACAUGCGUAUCUCGGUGUGCUGCAGACGGCUGUGGCUCUGGUAUUGCAUGGUGCAAGGCCAGAUAUUUAUUUAAGGCAUUUCCUGCUUCAGCAGUGUCUGCUAAGAACAUGACAUAUUUUCUACACGCCUGAAAGACCUAGUAUAAAUGCAGGCACGUCUGCGGGAGAGGAGGAAUCAGACCCUAUGCCCAGGACCGGCAUGGAAGUGCCCUCCAGCUGCUGCCGUGUCAGUGAUGAGGAGCAAUGCACACUGCAAGGCACCCUAUGAUGCUGAAGAGGAGACAGUACUGAGGACCUGCUUAAAUACACCCGUCCUGGACUUGGCCAGUUAACCUGCGUUGUGCUGGAGAUCCUUUCGCUUCGCUAAAGUGACACAGAGGAGAAAGAGCAUGGUGGAGGUCGGGUUCAGCAGUACGUGGGAACGCACAGCCUGGGCUGUGAAGGGAGGUGGGUAUACCUUAAAUGAGUUUUGUUGCUGACAGUGGCCAUCUGCAGCCUCAGAGCUGGAGCCUUACCGUAGGAAUCCAGAGCCAUGUGCCCUUCUACGGUACACCCUUUAUGGCUGGAAGAGCAACCACAGGCAAAGCAUAUUUUGCAGCGAGACUUGAAAGAAGCAAGUAUAGUCUGUUGUCAUAUCACUAAGUGACAAGAAAAUAAAUGUUUUUAUGCCUACCAA